GAUGAACGCUAGCUACAGGCUUAACACAUGCAAGUCGAGGGGCAGCAUGGACAUAGCUUGCUAUGUUUGAUGGCGACCGGCGCACGGGUGCGUAACACGUAUCCAAUCUGCCCGUUACUCGGGGAUAGCCUUCUGAAAGGAAGAUUAAUACCCGAUGGCAUGUAUUUCCGGCAUCGGAGAUACAUUAAAGAUUUAUCGGUAACGGAUGAGGAUGCGUACGAUUAGCUUGUUGGCGGGGUAACGGCCCACCAAGGCGACGAUCGUUAGGGGUUCUGAGAGGAAGGUCCCCCACACUGGAACUGAGACACGGUCCAGACUCCUACGGGAGGCAGCAGUGAGGAAUAUUGGUCAAUGGUCGGAAGACUGAACCAGCCAAGUAGCGUGAAGGAUGACUGCCCUACGGG
rnacentral:rRNA from 1 species